UCAGAGACACCUCUGAUCCCCCCAAAUCCACAGGAACACUCGCUGGCCGGCCGUUCCAGCCAGCCUCGCGCUGCCAGCCCCGGGCUGGGGGACCCCACACCAAGCAUCAGCACCAUGAAAGAGGACCUACAGACCCUGCUGGCCUUGGAACAGGCCAACAUCAUAGCCAAUUACACUCAGGCACGCCCAGCAGGGUCUCCACGGGACCCAUGGGAAGAUGCUGAGCUCUCGCGGUGCAGGCUCACGGACCAUCAUGGCUUUCGGCACAACUUCUCCAGGAGACCCGGAGAGCCGACAAGUGGGAGAAGAUGCUGCGGAGCUGGGAGCACUACCGGGUGCGCGGUCAGCUGUGGGCCCUCCUGCUCGAUACUGAAAAGGUGAAGUCCACCAAGCGAGGGGUCUACGAGAAGAUGACGGAGCAGGCCCAGCUCUUCUCCAGAGACAUCAGGCAAAUUGACCUGGACGUGAACCGGACCUUCCAGAACCACGUCACGUUCCGGGACCGCUAUGGGGUCAGAUCAGUGGUAUGAUGAACCCCCAGAUGCCGUCCCCGGUCCAGCCCGGCUCCUGUGCUCACCACAUGCCACCCCAGCAGCAAGUGUGUCCCAGCAAAGCCCAGACCUCGGGUCGACACUGUCUAGAGUCAUCUCAGUAUGCGCCUUAGAAAACGGGGGUCCCCGAUGGAUGUGUGCCCCCCACACCGGCUCCAGCCUGCAAGGAUUUAGUGCAGCCCCUUAGUGUGCGGACGGUGUUGGCGCCUCCCCGGCCCCCGUCGGGGUCUCUGGAUGGUCCGUCCUCCUCAGGAGCCCGGGUUUGGUGUUGAGCCGCCGGGUGUGGGGGAGACCCUGACGAUGUGGGGGCCUAGCGGGAGGGGCGGGAAUGCAGUAUGCGCCCGGACCGGUGGGGUGCAGCCAGAUCGCCAUGGGAGGAGCUCUGUCUGUGCGGCCAGCGGCUGGCGGUGUGCUUCACAGCACGGGGCCCCGGGGAGGCCGAGCUGGAGGCCAGGAAGGCCGGUGCCGAGGAGCCGCCAGGCAGGCGUGGACUGAGCCUUCCAGGGGACCGUCCCCAACCCAUCUCAUGAGGAGACGUCGACAUUCCUCCACGGAAGGGGGUGCCUUGUACCCCGGAACCUGGGUGGCCCCUGCGUCGGCCUUGGCCCUCAGAGGGCGGCCGCGUCACGGCUGACCUGUGACGCCCGGUCCAGGGCGAGCCAGCCUCCAGCAGCCUGAGACCCCCAGGCACCACCCCAAACAUCCAUCCC